GAUGAACGCUGGCGGCGUGCCUAAUACAUGCAAGUCGAGCGAACAGAUAAGGAGCUUGUUCCUUUGACGUUAGCGGCGGACGGGUGAGUAACACGUGGGUCACCUACUUAUAAGUCUGGGAUAACUUCGGGACACCGGAGCUUAUACCGGAUAAUAUUUCGAACCGCAUGGUUCGAUAGUGAAAGUUGGCUUUGCUAUCACUUAUCGAUGGACCCGGGCGGUAUUAGCUGGUUGGUAAGGUAAAGGCUUACCAAGGCGAGGAUACGUAGCCGACUUGAGAGAGGGAUCGGCCACACUGGAGCGGAGACGCGGACCAGACGCCUACGAGAGGCAGCAGUAGGGAAUCGGCCGCAGUGGUGGAGAGCCUGACAGAGCGGCGCCGCGUGAGAGGUGGAGGUCUUCGGAGCGUAAAGCUGUGUUAUUAGUGAAGAACAGACUUGGAAGGAGCUGUACACUGCGUGACGGUACCUAAUCAGAAAGCCACGGCUAACUACGUG
rnacentral:rRNA from 1 species